rnacentral:rRNA from 1 species
GCAGCCGCGGUAAUACGUAGGGGGCAAGCGUUAUCCGGAUUUACUGGGUGUAAAGGGAGCGUAGACGGACAUGCAAGUCUGAUGUGAAAACCCGGGGCUCAACCCCGGGACUGCAUUGGAAACUGCGUAUCUAGAGUGCCGGAGGGGUAAGUGGAAUUCCUAGUGUAGCGGUGAAAUGCGUAGAUAUUAGGAGGAACACCAGUGGCGAAGGCGGCUUACUGGACGGUAACUGACGUUGAGGCUCGAAAGCGUGGGGAGCAAACAGGAUUAGAUACCCC